UACGUAGGGUGCAAGCGUUGUCCGGAAUUAUUGGGCGUAAAGAGCUCGUAGGCGGUCUGUCGCGUCUGCUGUGAAAACUCAGGGCUUAACCCUGAGCUUGCAGUGGGUACGGGCAGACUAGAGUGCGGUAGGGGAGACUGGAAUUCCUGGUGUAGCGGUGAAAUGCGCAGAUAUCAGGAAGAACACCAAUGGCGAAAGCAGCUCUCUGGGACGGUACUGACGCUGAGACGCGAAAGCAUGGGGAGCGAACAGG
rnacentral:rRNA from 1 species